UAAAUGUUGUUUGCAGGUACUUUGUCCUGGGGUAUCUGUACAAGUUGUAGGGUAUGACUGAUCAUGAAGUGCCAUACCUGCACCUCCCUGUGCUUUGCUCACUCACUGCAUCAGGGCCAUGAAGUGGCUGAAACACUGAAGCUCAGCAAGAAGCCUUCUCGGGGAUGGUCCUUUUGCCAGCUGAGAUGCCUCCAUCAUUCCAUUGCAGUGAAGCGGAGGCACUGCAUCCUUAAGGAUCCCCAUGGCUGUAUGUUGUGAUAUCUGUCACAAGGCAUUUCUAUUUAAGGCAGCUUGCAAUAGACAUCUGUAACUAACAUCUGGUGAGGGGAGAAAACAAGUAAAUGAGUAAUUGUGGCACUGAACCUGUCCAGAAAUGGAUGAGGGUAAACUUUAGCCUUCUGCUGCCUUCCUUCCACCUUUGGCAGCUGACCUUUCUGAGGGGACAGCAGGAGGCUGCCACCCACCUUCCAUGCACUGCUCUGCACCCUGCUUUGCUCUGUGCACUGGAGGAGAGAUGGGAAGGUGAUGGUACGGAUCCACAGAAGAAAGCAAUUGUGUGUUUAAAUACGGGUGUGGAGAAAAGUACAGAGACGAUUUAUAGCAGAAGCUGCAUACACAUUAUAAAAAUCUUAUUUGAAAGCUUUCAGGAAAAAAAAAAUAGAAGUGUUCAAAUUCAGCAGUGAUUAGACUGAUGCAUAUCAGCACUUCAUACCCUCAUGCCAGUUUCUGAGGUCAUUGCUGUAUCGUCUGUCAGUAACUUCCUGGUGUGGCCCAGUGUCUUAGAACUAUUCUGUGUUUUUUUUUGUAGGGCUUUUUUCCCAAUUUGUUAAACAUGAAAGAGAGACAGGAGAAACACUAGUCAAAGAUGAAGGUUUUACAAGGAUUUCUCAUUCACUCAAUGUAAAAUAAAUUCUUUACAGCACGACUGGAAUGUCUUUGCAUAUAUUCCAGGAUGGCUGUGCCCAGCUCUGAGACCAGAGCGAUGCCUUCCCAAAGAUCAUGCAGUCAGCUUGCUGCCAGCUUUACAUACAGCCCUCACUCAGAGAUGUAUGUCAUUGCUAUUUUACAGCUGUCAAGACACACUUUUAAAAAAUGGAAGCCCUAUGCACCAGAUGUUACCGAGUCCGGUGUGGUCUACAUUGGACCCCUUCCAAACCUGCCUGCAUAUAAUUUUCAAGUCCCAGCAGCCUUGCAGUGCUAGAAGAUUAAAAAAAAAAAAAAAAAAAAAAAAAAAAAAAAGACCAUUACUGUACCCUUUUAUAUUGCUGAUCUCAGUUUAGUUAUCUGAAGCACCACCAGAUAAAUAGUUCAAUCAGAGGAAUUCCACCUCAGCAUUAACUCCUACCACUUCCAUUUUUUUUCUAAUUUGAGGCAGAUUUGGAUUACCAGCUCUAAAAUCUGAAAAAUUCUAAUCGAUGAUUAAUAUAACUAUCCAGAGAGGUAUUUUUUUCUUUUAAAUCAUGAAUAUUGGAGUGUACUGAUAUGGCAUUUUUGUGCAAGGAACUCUAUGAAUUCAUACAGUUGAGUUUUAUGUACAUGUGGGUAGGGUACAUAUGUGCAUCUGGACCUGAUAUUUUAAUUUUAAAGAGGGCUCACCUCCAGGAAUAAUACAAUUUACAGAGCUGUUAAGCAACCAGUUGUUCUGAGGAUACCUUCCCAAGAAAAUGUGUUAUUUCAGUCAAUGGCUUUGAAGCAUUUGCUUAUGGUCAAAUAAAUGCUUGGAUACUUCCCUGAAGAUGAAGAAUAUUAGUCUGAGCUCAUGUCACUCACUCAGUGAGGGACGUAAAUUAGUACAUUCAGUACCUGCAAAGCCUCUUGCAGAGGCCCAGCUUUGACUGUCGCCAGUCUCUGAGAAGGUAUUUAGGUUUCUUGACCUCCUUGAAUGGCUCUGUGGGGCUGAGCUCUUACCCUAAAGGCAAAAGAAUUAGGAGUACUAUGUGGAGACCCCCACUUUUAGAUGGUAUUUUCAGUGUGUCCAUUACUAUUUCACAUUGCAACAGUGUUUUGAAUACUAUGACAAAUAAUACUAAAAAAGCAGUUUAAUAAUUCAGUGAUUUUGUAGUCAGUGUUGAUUUUCUUCCUUUUUCCAUCUAUUCGUAUAUAAGAUUAUGCAUAUAUUGGCUGCGAUAAGUUUGUCUUUGACAAAGUCUAUUAUUCACAUUGCAUAAGAAUUCCUUUACUUUUGGAGCAGAAAAGUGUUCACAGAAACAGCAAACCAAGGAAAAUAUUAAUGAGCAUUUGUAAGAAACAACAGUUAGUGCUCAGAAUGUAUACGGAAGUAGAAGCCACUUGGUUAUGGAUUCUUUAUACAUGCGCACAGAAGGGCUCGUGUGAUGAAUCAGAAGUAAUGAACAAGUUUGAUUUUGGAUAUUAAGCAUUAGCCACAUUUAUUUUAGGGGCAAUCUACAGAUUGGUUGUUAUUUCUCUGAAUGAUGUCUUAUACUACAGUAGUGGUAAGACAACAUAAACCUAAAUCACAUAAAACUGUGAAGUGGAAGAAAUGUCUAUUUUUUAUUUACUCUGUGUAAAGCUGAUUUUAUUUAAGAUUUUAUUUUUAAAUAGAAAUAACAAUACUAUUAAGAAAAAUUUACAGUUAACAUAUUUUCUUUGUAUAGAUUUCCUUUAACCUGGGUAAAUGAGACACUUCGCCAUCACUGUUCUCCAUUUUGAUGUAGAUUAUCUCCUAGUUCAUCUCUCUUUUAAACGUUCAAUUUUGUUUUCCCCUUUAUGAACCUGCCAGGGACUACAAAGGGUAGUACAGAUUUUUACCCCUUUUCCUCGAGUUAAGAAUUCUUUCAUUUGCCAAACUGUCUUCGCAGCUGUGGAUGUGGCUCUGUGCUCUACUUUCUUAGAGCUGCAUUUGAGCUCCUGCUAAGACUGAAAGCUUUGGGGAAAAUAAAUCUAAGAUGUCAGUGACUUAAAGCCUACUGCUGUAAGUUUAAGAUGUUUGCCUAAUAUCACAUCACCGAAAUGGAACAGAUAAAGAUGAAGUGUAAAGUAUACGUAAUGUGGCUUGCAGUUAAAUGCGGUAAUUGAAGAAUGCAGGCAGCAGAUCUGGGAAGGUGAUAAGGUAAGCAAAAGCUUCUUGGGAAAGGUAAACUAUCUGAAGAGCUGACAGUGAUAUGCACUGACUGGAAGGAACCCAAAAUUGUUUUAGCCUUUAAGCAUCCAACAGACAUUGGAGUAAUUGAGUAAUCAUACACUCUAGGCCCAGUGUUCCUGUCACCGAUACCUCAUGCAUCUCAGUUAUUGGUGUAAUUUAAAUUUGAUAGCCACAUAAUGGACCAAAUUCUCUUCUUUACUUUUCAUAAGUUGCCCUGUUGGAUUCAAUGUGAAGAACGUUUGCAUAAGUGCAGAGAGCAGAAUUUGUGUCAUGAGACUUACUUUCUCAAAAUGCAGUAUCCUCUGCGGUAUGCGUUGCGCAGCACCAUAUAAGGCAGAAUAUUUAUUCUGAAGGAAAAUAUCCUGAAGCACCGGAGGUUAGUUCAAAUUCUCAAAAAGUGUAAACUUUUCAGUUUCUUCCAGUGCUUAAGCAGCUUUCCUCAAUAUUUAUGCCAGAAAUUGUCCUCAAGUCUCUCCUGCUGUUAAUGCCAGCACUUUGAAGGUGUGUUAGGUUCUGCGUUGUAAAAGAUGACGCCUGCCUGUACGCAUUUCUCAGGAUGACAGUUUCUACCUUUCAAGGGUCGUUUGGGUCAGAAAUUUUCAUUAAAAAAUAUUUGAGAACGUGCCACAUACCUUGUCUGUUUAUUCAAUCUUAAUAUUCAACAAAACAUUUCAAUAUUGCUAAGCGGACAGAUCAGAGUAAGCUCAUUGGAACACGGGAACAUCUUUUUGUUCUGCUUUUAUACAUAGCACCUCAUACAGCUGAGCCAUACUGCAGUGCAGAUAGUAAAUACUAGUCAUCAGGAGGGCUUUGAGGCGUGACUUUCACAAUGAGCACACAGCUUCAUAAAGAAAUCUGGGCCUAAUUUUCUCUGUAAAACAGGGGCAGCGUGCUAGUCUGCAUCUCCGUAGUGCUGGAUGAUUGAUUAAUAUGUCUGAAGUGCCAUAUAACAGCUAACGUUGAUCCAUUUGGCCCCACAGCCUGCAGUGGAAGGAAAGCCAGGCUCCCAGCUUAGUGCAGAAAACUGCUCCUCAAAGUACUCUUUCUGGCUGGUAGUAAAUACGCAGUGGGGGAGGCUCUUGGUGUUGUCCUUUCUUGACGGAAAGAUAAUUAAACUUAGGAUUUGUCCUGGAGGAUUCUUUUACAGACUUUCUCCUCCCCAUUUUUCCUUCUAACCCCUCUAUGGCCCCUAGAAAAAGAAAUUCUUUUAGACUGGGUCCAGUGAAAUAACAUCAGCCUGCUGAACCCCAGCCAUCUUUACUCCUUCUGAAAGACAUGGCUGCUGUACCACCUAACCCAUAGCACUUUCUGGCAAGGUUUGGGUUGUGACAAGUCUCAUUUCUUCAUGGAAAGAGCAUCCCAGCAAUUCCGGGACGAGGAUGAGCAAGGGGCUGAUCUAGGGGUCAGCAUGACAAGAUCACCCUGUUGGAGGAAGAAGCAUACAGCUGCAUAGAUGUGAGUGGUGGUGUGCAAAGCCAGGGAAUGUUCUGGCACAAAUUACUGAUUACAAUAGCAACAGCUCUCUGUGCAUCCACUGACAAGAGGCAGAAUGUCUUCUGGUUGUUACCUGGUUCUGUUCAUUAAGAGUCCACUUAUAAGUGGGCUAUCUUUGUGCCAGGAAGAGGCAUACACUGUGUCCCACCUCAUAAGCCUUCCCUCUGUCAUCAUCACUGCUGAUGCAGCACUGUCUAUCUGUAUGUAACCCACAAAUUAUCUUUCCACAUCACUUUCAAAUGUUUUCACACCUGGAUAAAGGAGUGAGGUUAAAAGGAAGAAAGGGCUGAAGUCUGCCCGCAUCUAUAUGGUGUGGCCCUUCCUGUCCAACUGUGCAGCUGAACCUCUCCCUCUGGUUUUCAUCUGUUCCUAUCUUGAUGUCUCCCACAUGACUUUUUUUGAGUUUUGAUAAAUGCAGUCUUGCCCUUCACUUACACCCAGCAUGCUGCAGAGGUCACUUUUCUGUCCCGAUGCUUUGACCAUGACACUUUUCUUUGUAAUCUGUAUCUGGUUCGCUCUGUGCAUUUCAAAAAUAAGUUCCUUUAUAAGUCCUGAAAACUUUCCAAGCUUUUUUUUCCUCUUGUCCUUCACUCCCUACAAAGGGAUUGAUUCCAUCUUUCAUUACCCGCUUUUCAAACGCACAGACAGAAGUUGUGCAGCUCUAUCCCUUUCUGCACUCGCCUCAGUCCCUGUAGCCAGACAUGGGCCUGCAUUGUAACUGCUUGGAAAAUCAGGUGAAUAGGAAAUGUCAGUGUCUACCAAUAGUUCAUAUUCACUUAUACUCUCUCGCUGGUCUGCAUCUAUCCAUUGUUUUUUGUUCUAUUUUGUUAGAUAUUAGGAGGAUGUUUUUUAUACAGAGUAUGGUGACACACUGGAGCAGGUUGCUCAAGGAGGUUGUGGAUGCCCCAUCCCUGAAGGCAUUCAAGGCCAGGCUGGAUUUUGGUCUGGGAAAUCUCAUCUGGUGGUUAGCAGGGGGUUGAAACUAAAUGAUCAUUGUGGUCCUUUUCAACCCAGGCCAUUCUACAAUUUUAUGAUUCUAUGAGUCUAAAUUUGAUUGAAAAGCCAAAGUUUGCAAAUAUUUGUAAGCUUUUUUCAUCUAUGAAUUUUAAUAGGACAUAAAAAUCUCUGUAGUUUUGUGAAUUAGAGUUCAAAUUCUUCUGGGGAUGUCUCAUAUGUUUAAAGGAGACCAAUCAGUAAAUAAAACUGUUGUUGUUAUUGUAAUGCAAGUUAUUUUUCAAAAAUAAUGAUACUCAGAAAAGUGCCCAACAUGACUUCUUUCUGUAGGAAAUAUACCCUAUCUUCUGCUGCCUCACAGUGUUUGUCUGUUUUCAUAUGUGCUUUUACACGUUUAUUGCUCUGGAAUAGCAGUUCUUGACUACUAUGUCUGGUUUCAGAGUAAGUGUUGACUUCAGCAACUUCCCAAGAUGGCAUUUUUUUAAAUGAAAAUCAAACCAGAAUCUAGUUCAAGGAUGUGACUGAGAGGAAGUGAGACAUAUUUGCCUCUAUUUAAUUCUGAAGACUGCUAGGAAAAAAAGCUAAAGUAAAAUGAAAGAAGACCAGUAUUUUCCUAAGGGUUUCUU